CGCCGCCUCCCCCCGCGCCGCCACCGGAUGGCCUGGGCGCUUCGACGGCGUGAGGCUGCGUGGGGCCGGCCGCCGCCGCCAGGGGGCAACCGCCGCCCGCGCUUCUGGUCUGAGUUCCCCGGUCGGUCUCGGCCGGGGACGCACGGACCUAGCGCUCUCCCGCUAAAGUGGUGUCGUUAAGCGGAGUCCUGAGCCCACCGGGCAGGCUCUGCGACCAGCAGGGCAAAGGCUCGCCUGCCGUUCCCUGCACCCCCGCCCCCCACCGGGCCCCGGCCUUGGUCUCCAGACCCCUCCCGUACAGAGAACUGCCGAGAACUGCUGCGCUGACCUCCAGGUUCCCAAUCUGACAGCUGCAGGUCACCGUGCCUUCUCUGCAGCUCAUUUGCCCGGACCCAUCUGCAUUACACUUGGGUUCUUCAAAGCUCCUUCUUAAUCCUCUCCCUUUCCACCCAGUAUCUGCUCCCACUCCCUCCACAGCCCGAAAUCUGCUGCAGAUGAGCAGCUUCCGGAGGAGAUGCGAAUUUGGGUGGUUCUUUCUAGGCUGUGAAGUUCUUGGGGGAGGAGGGCAGGGAAUUCCCUUAGAGCAAAAUACUAGCAGCACUUUUAAGGGCAAAGAGCUCUUUUUAUUCCAUGGCCUUCGGGGAGCCUGGAGCCCGCUAGAGGCCCGGCUGAUGUGUGACGCUCAUUCACCAAGCUGGUCACUGACGAGACUGAGGAAGUCCUAGACGGAGCAAGAAUGGGCAGAGGCUGAAGGGGUGCCGUGGACUCCCUAGCCGUGGGGACCACACGACAGGACGGGUGUGAGGCUGCCCUGUGACUCUACAGUCGCAGACCAUCUGCAGCUGCUCCCCUACUGCCACCCUGGAGCUCGGCCACGAAGCGCUCCGCCAGGACUCCUGAUACUUCACGGUCGCUCCCACUGUGCCUUUACAAAGACUGGAUCGCACCAGCUUCCCUUCAGUCCGUACUCUUCAUCUUGGAAAGUUACAAGAAGGCUGGCGGUGGGCAAAGUCAGGACAGCUGCACGGUAAAUCCCGCCUCACAGCGACCGGCCACACCUCCCCUUCCUGAACACUUCUCUUGCUUGUUCUCAGAGGGCUAACUCCAAACUUCUAGAAAUUGAAAUCUAGAGACCACUCGUUUUCUGGGAUGGGCUUCCUGACAUCUCUCAGGUUGUUCUUGUUCACUGAGCUUCUGUCAUUGCAACGCCACCUCCUCUGCGUCCGUUAUCUUUCCACCUGUACCUCGAGCAAGGCACCUACCUGGGUCUUGGAGUACACAGAACCCGAGAUAUCUGGCACGCC